AGGAAUACUCAGAAUCCGAAGCAGGCUCCAGGCUCUGGGCUGUCAGCCCAGAGCCCGAUGUGGGGCUUGAACCCACGAGCUGGGAGAUUAUGGCCUGAGCAGAAGUUGAACGCUUAACCGACUGAGCCACCCAGGUGCCCCUGUAUUUUUAUUCUUAAGAACAGCGAAAGACUCAAUACUCUAGAAACAAGCAACAUUGAGCACAAUUUUUUACUUUUUUGGAAACAGAUCCUUAUGCUUCAUUAAACAACACUGUUGAGAAAAUUUGUUUAAAGACUUUCUUUUAAACAUUUGACUAGAGAAGAAUGAAAAAUAAUUUAAACUAGCAAACAAUAGAGACUUAUGGAUUCAUAUAUAUCUGAUUCAUAUAUAUCUCAGUAUAUAUUCAUAUACUGACUUAUAUAUAUCUCUGCACAGUGAACAGAAACAAAACCAAACAAAUGUAAAAGGACAACAGAAGGAUGAAAUAUGUACAUAAGCAUGAUUUAAAAAUGUUAGUGUUUGUUAAAUUGGAAAAAGCUUAUCUAAAUUUGUUAGGAAAUUUUUUGUGGAAAUGGAAAUGAUCCAGUGACAGAAAAUUGACAUUAGAGAAAAUGCCAGUAAACAAGCACACUAGAGAUGCACUUUCUAACACAAAAAAGUAAGUUAAAGAAUUUGGACUUUCAAUUUCACAUUUCUGAAAUUUGAAAAAAAAAUGCUGGGAAAGAGUGGAGUAAAUUGUUACCCUGAUAUAGAUGAUAUUUUAAAUGGUACAAUAAUUUGGAAAAGAGUAUGGUAAUAUAAAACAGAAUAAGAUAACAUAUUCCUAUUGUGUAUGUAAUUUUAACUUUUUUUUUUUUUUUUGUAAUUUUAACUUCUUAAGAAAUUUCACAAGUGCUCUAUUUGCAGAUGUUCAUUGUAGCAUUAGCCGUAGUAACUAAGCAAUCCGGAUUAACAACCUAAGUUACACUACACUGCAUCCUAGCGUUUUAUGCAGCCAUUAAAAAAACCAUAAUUACAAACCUCGGGCAGAAACAGAAAAGUGUUUAUAGUGUUAAGCCCACAGAAUAUAACAUUUAGUAUGUAUGUUAAAUAGUUAUUAGUCUAAAUAUGUACUAUAACAUAUGCUAGAAGGUAUUACCAAAAAAAAAAAAAAAAAAAAAAAAAAGGAAAUAAAAGUAUUAUAGAACUAAGGUGUGUUAAUUCUACAGAUAUUUGUUAAAUCCCUCCAUGGUGCCAACAGUAAAUUGAAAAGAGUACGACAGUAAAUUGAAAAGCUAUACCUUGUGGCAGUAAUGGAAAGUAUCCAGUUUUACCAAAACUUUCUCCAAUUUUUUCCAAAAUUUUCAAUAAUUUUAUAGCAACUUUUCAUUUAUAAGUUUAGCUAUAAAUUAGGGGCAGUAAUAAAAUAAAAUAUUUGUAAUUAAUUAUAUCCUGCUUGUUAUUUUCAUCUGCUUACCCUCAAUACAUAUAUUUUAUAGAACAUGAAAUUAAGAAAUUUUUGUUUUUAUUUUGUGAAAAGCACAAAUUGUUGGUUCCUCUGUUUUCCUUUUUAUUCAUGAAUUUAUUGAUUGGUUUAUUUCUCGACUGGGUUAUUCUUGAAACAAAUAAUUAUUGGGUACUGUGACGGAUGUGGGGAGGAUCGAGCAGGACAGAUGCCCCGUUUCUGUUUUCUUACUCUGUUAUGGACUCAUUGCAUUAUAGUUCUGCUGUGGAUCAGAUUGUCCCAUUAAGAUGUCAUUUUAGAUUUUUAUCACAAAUGUUAUUUUCUGAAAGGAAGAAGGAUUUAGGUAAUGAGCAGAAAAGCAUGCAUUUUCAUGCCUUUUUUCCACAAACUCUGUUUUAUGACAUUAUCUGGAAAAAGAAAAGAGGAAUUUUUUUUUUUAACAUUCUUAAGAAAUCAGAGGUGCUUUUAUACUGGUUACUUUGGGUGGCCUCCAGAUUUCUUUUUAAAUAAACCAUUUCACACAAACACGAACAUACAAUAGACAAAUGAGGAUAAUGUGAAGUGGUACUUGAGAAAGAAUGAAAUUGAUCUUCCCAUGGAAAACUAUAUUUGUGUCUUUCCAUUCUUAAUGCUUUUUCCAUUUGUGGGGGCAGUGUUGACAAAACUUAAGUGCCAUGUGGGUGGUUGACUCUGUGUUUAUCUGCAGACAAAUAUGGAGGAUACUGGAGGUAAAUAUAGAGAAUGUUAUGAAGUAAUAGCUAAAUGAUAAGAAGAAGUAAAGCUGACUUAUAGAAAACCGUAUUUCUGCCUCUGAGUUCUUAAUAACUCCCUUCCCUCCUCGCUUGUGCCUUUUGGGGUGAUAUUGGCAGUAUUGGCAAAAUUAAAGUGGCAUGUGGGUUGAUUCUGGAAUCUUUAUUUCCAUAUGCUCUUUAAUUUCAUCAUCCUGAAGUUGUUGCAACUAUAACAAUAGCUAAAGGAUGACUGGUUUUUAAAAAUAUUAAUGGUUGGAGCACUGUCACUUAGAAAUACACUGGAUGGGACGCCUUGGGGGGCUUAGUUAAGUGUCCAACUCUGGAUGUUGUCUCAGGUCAUGAUCUCACGGUUGUGGGAUCAAGCCCUGCCUCUGUGCUGACAGUGCAGAGCCUGCUUGGGAUCCUCCCUCUCUCCCUUUACCCUACUCUCUCUCUCUGUCUCUCUCAAAAUAAAUAAACAUUAAAAAAAAAAAAAAAAGAAAUACACUGUGAUGCUCGGUUGGUUGUAUUCACAAACAUUAUGUAGCCUAGAUCUGCCAAGGUCCCCUCUCCUGUGGACUUUUAUAAACUUAUGGCUCUUAUAUGACAUUCUAGGCCUUUAUGAAUAUCUGGAUAUUAGAUUGAUUUUUCAAAGAUUCUUAAAUGUUACAUAGUCAUUUAUUUUGAAAAAUUGAGAAAGACUUUAAAGAAAUAAAGAUCUGUCAUUUUAACAUUUUAAAAUGUUAGUUUAAUUAUAAAUCUUACUACUAUGAGUUUUGUUUGGCUCUUAAGUUAUUUUCAGUAUAAGUCAGAAAUAAGGAAUAGAAUUAAUUCAAUCAACACAUCAUCCUUGAGUGCCUCUUAACAGCAUGGCAACAUAUCAGAACCACAGAGAUGUGUAAGAAGGGGUGCCUGUUCUCAGGGAACUUAAAGCCCAUUUGAAAUAGUCAUAAAUAGUUUUGUCUAGUGCAGCCUCAGUGUUCAUUUGAGGAAUGAUCAUUAAAAUGUAUAUUUUUUACAUUUUUAUUCCAUAUCAAUAAGUCAUAUUAAUUUCCUUAAUCGGUUGAGAACAAACACAGAAGUCUUACAUAGGAAGACUUGUUUUAGGACCAUAAACAAAAUCAGCAACCUGUAACAAGCACUAAAUCUAACCUUGGGAAAUUAGAAUAUGUAGCAAAUUCAGAAAGACAUAUUUUUCUGAAAAAAUAGAAGGUCUUUUAUAUUAAACAUGAGAGUGUAUAUGAUCUAUCUGCUAGAAAAGUUCUUUAUAAAGAUUAAGUUAAAAUUAACAUGUUCAGAUAUUUACAAUGCAGUCCCAAAUUGAGCUGAUUGAAAAUAUGUUUUUCAAGUAUAACUGAAGUUAUAAUUUUUCCCCAUUUUUUGCUUCCACUUUUAUUUCUGGCUUGGAGGAAAAAAGAAAAAUAAGCAUACGAGAGUAGCAUGUGGCUUGUUUUUAAUUCACAUAGCUUUCAAAUAGAGGUUUUGAUUUUCAGGUGCAUUAGAACCUCAGCGUGGUGACACGGUUCCUUUAUAAAGAGUUUGCAUCUUUAGAAGUCUCCCCUGGAGUAAGGGAAGAUGAGGAAACACAAGGAAAAGUUAUUAAUUCUGUGGUGGGACAUCAAAGGAACUCAUCUGGCUUGCAUUUCAGCAAUGAGUUCACAUUAAGACAUGGACAGUAAUAUGGGAUAUAUUCUGAGAUCACAGAACUGAAAAUCUGAGAGAUACUUUAACUGUUGGAUAUAACGAUUAUACUAACACUGGCUAAAGAGUAAGAGUUUUCCAAUCUUGAGAGAAAGACUUGUAUCAUAAAACGUGAGAAUUCUCUUUUAACUAAUAACUUGAGUUUCUAUUCACUAGAUCUUUACAUGAGCUUCAAAUUUGUGGAAAGACUGAUUUGCUUUCCUUUUUGUCCAAAUGGUUUCUACUUCUGUAUAAAAUCUGAAUUCCUAUUUAGUCAUCUAUAAACACUGGAAGGAACAAACUAGAAGAUGUUGGAGAGAGAGGGAUAAACCCAUGUAAAAUAUGCAAGCAACUCAGAUCUUUUUCAGUCUGCAGCAAAGGCAGGUCUGACCCUCAGCAUCACUGGACGUGAGGCGAGGUCAGGAUGAUGGAACAAUGGUGGUUGAAGACAGCAGAUACCCAAGUGCACUUGUCCUUUGACUCUUCUUCACGAUCCUGUUUUCGAGGCCUUCUUCUGUCUGCUUACUUGACCUUUUUCUAUUUCUCUACAUCUGUCCGUAAAGUGGGGCCUGAAGUUGGACCUGGCUGACACACCAAAGAUUUGACCACCACUGACUUUACAGGGAUCAUUGGAUGUUUUUACUAUUCAUCUGCUGUCAGCCCUCUGGUCUGGAACUGAUUAUUUAGGGAAAAUUGGUGGAGCCAUCUGGAAACAUGAACAACUUGAGUUUCUGUCUGAUUUCUAAUGCAUGUUUUGAUUGAUGCUAAUUACACGGUUCAUUUCAUUAUUUAUUGUUUCUGUUUAUUGU